rnacentral:rRNA from 1 species
UUGGAAUCGCUAGUAAUCGCGGAUCAGCAUGCCGCGGUGAAUACGUUCCCGGGCCUUGUACACACCGCCCGUCACACCAUGAGAGUCGGGAACACCCGAAGUCCGUAGCCUAACCGCAAGGGGGGCGCGGCCGAAGGUGGGUUCGAUAAUUGGGGUGAAGUCGUAACAAGGUAGC